CACCACUGGGUCAGAGGGGAGCCAUGUGCCUGCUCCACUAGCGUCGUUUUCAACCGAAGCCGAAUGUUUACAGGGAUUCGUUUGCAUCUCUCCCUUUGCUCGUAAACGUUUUGUCAUCUCUAGCAUCUCCAUUUACCAGGGGCUGGUAAGCUGAUUCAGUAAAAGCUGCUGCUGUUGGAAUCACUGGAGCCCAGCCCGUGAAUGACAUUCUCCAUGGAGACUGUUCUGAGUCUGCUCGGUGGUUCCAGAACUGUCCACUGAGACACCAGCUGAGAAACCCCAUCUUCUUGUGGAAGACCAUCACGUAUAUGCAGGAAGGAAUAAACCAGGUGAGAAACUGCUGGAAACAUGGAUCUGAAUCAGAUUCGAGAGGACCUUGAAUGACAUGUGGGGAAUUUGGACUUUAUUAUGUGGACAGCUGGGAAUGGGUUGAACUGUGUCCCAAUCCCCCCAAGUAUAUACUGAAGUUCUAACUCCCCGUACCUCCGGGCAUGACCUUA
ensembl:lncRNA